rnacentral:rRNA from 1 species
UGGGGAAUUUUGGACAAUGGGGGAAACCCUUAUCCAGCCAUCCCGCGUGUGCGAUGAAGGCCUUUGGGUUGUAAAGCACUUUUGGCAGGAAAGAAACGUCAUGGGUUAAUACCCCGUGAAACUGACGGUACCUGCAGAAUAAGCACCGGCUAACUACCUGCCAGCAGCCGCGGUAAUACGUAGGGUGCAAGCGUUAAUGGGAAUUACUGGGCGUAAAGCGUGCGCAGGCGGUUCGGAAAGAAAGAUGUGAAAUCCCAGGGGUAAACUGUGAAACUGCAUUUUUAACUACCGGGCUAGAGUGUGUCAGAGGGAGGUGGAAUUCCGAGUGUAGCAGUGAAAUGCGUAGAUAUGCGGAGGAACACCGAUGGCGAAGGCAGCCUCCAGGGAUAACACUGACGCUCAUGCACGAAAGCGUGGGGGGCAAACGGG